rnacentral:rRNA from 1 species
AUGACCAAGCGGAAGUGGAAGCGAACGUGCGAUGGAAUCACUCAAUCCCUCCUCAUUAAUUGGUCGCCCCGUCUCUCCCGUUCCCCGUGUCUAUCUCCCCCAAGCGACACCCAAGUGGCGACGGACGCAUCCGAAAUCAGCUACGGCGGCGAUGGCGGGCAGGGGAAGGAGCGCAAGGCAAUUGAUCUGAAGGAUGGGUGGAGCUUCAAACAGAAGGGCAUCAUCUACAAGCUCAUCAACAUCCUCGAGCGGAAGCUGGAGCUGCAGUUCAGCUUUACACGGUUCCGCCCCUCUUUGUCUCUUUUUGUCGUGCAGCAAAAAUCUGGAGCCUCGCCAUGGCCGCCAAUAUCCAUCUACGGGUACAAGGUUUGA